GCUAUACAUGCAAGUCGGACGCACUUUCGUUGAAUGAUUUAGAGAUGCUUGCAUCGAAGAUGAUUUUAACUAUAAAGUGAGUGGCGAACGGGUGAGUAACACGUGGGUAACCUGCCCAGAAGUGGGGGAUAACACCUGGAAACAGAUGCUAAUACCGCAUAAUAAAGUAAACCGCAUGGUUUUCUUUUAAAAGAUGGCUUCGGCUAUCACUUCUGGAUGGACCCGCGGCGUAUUAGCUAGUUGGUGAGAUAAAGGCCCACCAAGGCUGUGAUACGUAGCCGACCUGAGAGGGUAAUCGGCCACAUUGGGACUGAGACACGGCCCAGACUCCUACGGGAGGCAGCAGUAGGGAAUCUUCCACAAUGGACGAAAGUCUGAUGGAGCAACGCCGCGUGAGUGAUGAAGGCUUUAGGGUCGUAAAACUCUGUUGUUGGAGAAGAACGUGUGUGAGAGUAACUGCUCAUGCAGUGACGGUAUCCAACCAGAAAGCCACGGCUAACUACGUGCCAGCAGCCGCGGUAAUACGUAGGUGGCAAGCGUUAUCCGGAUUUAUUGGGCGUAAAGCGAGCGCAGGCGGUUUCUUAAGUCUAAUGUGAAAGCCUUCGGCUUAACCGAAGAAGUGCAUUGGAAACUGGGAAACUUGAGUGCAGAAGAGGACAGUGGAACUCCAUGUGUAGCGGUGAAAUGCGUAGAUAUAUGGAAGAACACCAGUGGCGAAGGCGGCUGUCUGGUCUGUAACUGACGCUGAGGCUCGAAAGCAUGGGUAGCGAACAGGAUUAGAUACCCUGGUAGUCCAUGCCGUAAACGAUGAAUGCUAAGUGUUGGAGGGUUUCCGCCCUUCAGUGCUGCAGCUAACGCAUUAAGUAUUCCGCCUGGGGAGUACGACCGCAAGGUUGAAACUCAAAGAAUUGACGGGGGCCCGCACAAGCGGUGGAGCAUGUGUUUAAUUCGAAGCUACGCGAA
rnacentral:rRNA from 1 species